rnacentral:rRNA from 1 species
AGCGAACGCUGGCGGCAGGCCUAACACAUGCAAGUCGAACGGAUCCUUCGGGAUUAGUGGCGGACGGGUGAGUAACACGUGGGAACGUGCCCUUUGGUUCGGAACAACUCAGGGAAACUUGAGCUAAUACCGGAUGUGCCCUUCGGGGGAAAGAUUUAUCGCCAUUGGAGCGGCCCGCGUCUGAUUAGCUAGUUGGUGAGGUAAGGGCUCACCAAGGCGACGAUCAGUAGCUGGUCUGAGAGGAUGAUCAGCCACAUUGGGACUGAAACACGGCCCAAACUCCUACGGGGGGCAGCAGUGGGGAAUCUUGCGCAAUGGGCGAAAGCCUGACGCAGCCAUGCCGCGUGAAUGAUGAAGGUCUUAGGAUUGUAAAAUUCUUUCACCGGGGACGAUAAUGACGGUACCCGGAGAAGAAGCCCCGGCUAACUUCGUGCCAGCCGCCGCCGUAAAAC